CCCUAUCUAUAUGGGACACUAUUCCGUGAACCGUAGAGGGCGCCAUCAAACGGGAGCACGACGACAGUAAGAUGGCAAUACUGGACAAGAGCAGAGGGGGGUACCGAGUGUUUGUGGGGGACCUCGGCAGCCGUGUGGGAAAGUAUGAUCUUGAGCGGGAGUUCCAGUAUUACGGCCCCAUCCUUGACGUUUGGGUGGCCAGGAAUCCACCGGGAUUUGCAUUUCUGGUGUACAAGUAUGGUGAAGACGCAGAGAGAGCAGUUAGGAAACUUCACGGAAACAUGGUUUGUGGACGGCGCGUGCGUGUGGAGCAUGCUAUUCCUUAUGAAGAGAAACAAGCCAAAAGAUUUGAAAAGCAUUCAUCUAGACGCAGAACAUAUCAAAGAUCUCACUCAAGGUCAAGAUCUCCAAGGCAACGAAGGUCACCUACACCAAAAAGAAAAACCUCAAAGACGCGUUCAGCAUCGAAAGACAGAAGAUCUAGAUCAAGAUCAAGAAAAAGAGACAGAUCAAGGUCAAGGAAGCGAGACAGAUCUGGGUCAAGGUCAAGAAAGCAAGACAGAUCUAGGUCAGGGUCCAGAAGAAGAGAUAGAUCUGGGUCAAGGUCAAGAAAAAGAGAUAGAACUAGGUCAAGGUCAAGACAGAGGGACAGAUCAAGAUCAGGAAGCAAAGAUGGAAGAUCUAAUAGAAAAAGGAGGACAAGAUCAAAAUCUAGGUCAAGAUCAAAGGAGAAAAAUAAAGACCAACCAACAGAAGAAACAUCAAAUUCAGCUGAAGGGAAGAAACAUACCAAAGACAGCAAAAGGUCAAAGUCCAAGUCUCCUGUGAAGGACAAGCCACAAGAAGAGAGCACUGCAGAGACUCCACAACAACAGAAUGAUGGUACCAACGAGAGUGAGCAGAAUUCAAAACCAAUGGAUGCUGAGAAUGGGCAGGAACCCGACACAAGGAGCACAAAUUCUGAUGAGGGUCAAGAAGGGGACAAAGAUGAGGGGGACACAAAGGGGACAGAGAGGAAUGAUGGACAUUCAAAAAUAAAUGAAAAGAGCAACAAAACGAAGAAAAUGAAACAAAAUAGGUACAGCUACUCAAGGGAGAUAACUAACUCAGCAGACAAAGAACCAUAACUCUUCCAUCAGCAACAGCAAAUUUCAUGUUGUUACAAACCACUACUCAGGUUCUGAUAGUACAACUUUUGACUUGUCAAUCAACUUAAGGACACACCCUUCACACAGAGGAUAAACCAAUCAGAAACUUUAAAAUUUUGAAAGAAGAGAAUACUAAAGACAAUAAAGAGAAGCAUGGGAUGGAUAAGUUUGACAGAAUUAAAAAGGAAGACAGCCCCAGCUCUGAUAGUUCAUCUGAUGAAAAUUAGACAAAUGUAUUUAACCAAUCACAAUUGUAUUUAACCUAUCAAAUGUCUCUAUAAUAGUUUCAUCCAAUCAGCUCUGAGAGUUAUUUGAUGUGAAUGUUGUUUACCAAUCAAAUGUCUCUAGAAAUUUACCAAUCAAUUAACUCAAUGUUUACUUGAUGUUGAUGUCAAAUGACCACUCAGAUGUAUUUAUAUUUUUACGUGUAUUUCAUUUUAGAAUCACAUGGGUGUUAUUAUUGGGAUGGGUAUUUAACUUUUCUCUUGUGUUACUGAAAAGAUAUUACAUGUGCCCUAUCAUCAAAGUGACAGAACCAAGGCUUGUUCUUUUUUUUUUCCAGAAAAUUUUAAUCCAUAAGACCAUAACUAUAAUAUUUUUCUCCUAACAGCUAAUGUAUCUAUAUAUUUUCAGUUUUAUGAAAACACCUGCCUUUUGAGAUAAUUUCUGUUUAUCUGGUUAUUUUAUUUGGUUGUGAGUCAGUCCAUUAAAGAUAAUAUUGCCUUAUUCAUCUGACAGUAUGGAUUAGCCUUAUACAUGUAAUUCUAAAGUAAGAAGAAUGUGCAACAAUAUCAAUGAAAUCAAAACCUCAACCACCUUGAAGGGGAAUUUGGUCCUCUGUCCAUGUAAUUCUUAUUUAUUUCUAACAAUGAUAAAUAUGUAAGGGGAUUGGGUACGUCAGCUGGAUAGCUCAGUAGUUAGAGCACCCGCAAGGUAGGCGGGAGGUACCGGGUUCAAGUCUCAGUCCCCACCUGUUAAAAAUAUAUACUCUUUAAUUGGAUUUAUUUGUGUUAAAAAGAGUUGAUAGUAUAGAUCACUAAAUGAGCAUUUUUAACCAUCAAAAGAUGUGUAUUCUGGGAAUUUGAUAUUUUCAAAGCAAAUCAAGUUUCAACAAUUUAUAUGUGUAUACAGUAAAACACACUUUUAAGGAACAUGCUUAUAAUGAAUUGAUGUUUAUAGGAAACUGAUUUUCAUUCAAAUUUCAUGCAGCCAUUAAAAUAAUGUGCCAGGAAUGCCCAAUAAAAGUGCAUUAGCCAUUACUGACAUUGCCAUUAUAAUGCAGUGCUCAAAUCUCACAACCAUGUUCAUAUUCCUGUGUUAAUCAUUACUGUGUUCAGACACAUUUCUUUUAAACCAUGUGUGAUUUAUUGUUCAAUUUGAUCUUGUUUUAAUUCUUUCUUAAAGUUAUUAAAAAUAAUCUGCAGCAAUCAACUUCCUGUCAAAAUACAUAUACACUGUAAUUCAUUUUUAUAAAUUUUGAUAAUCACACGAUUGAUUAAUUUUUUUCCAUCAUGAUUAUUUACAUGUAGAACUGUGAUUGUGUCAGAUAGAAAUAUCAGGUCUCUUGGCCAGAUAACCAUUGAACAUUAUAUUGAUGAUAAAUUAUUUUGUAAUAGUAAAUUUUGUAUUGAAGUAUUGAAUUCCUGUGAAAUAAGGAGAAUAGUUCAUUUUCAUGGUAUUUAAGAUGUUAUACUGUAAAAUCACAUAUUUUCGUGGGGUCAAAUUUUUGUGGUUUAAGAAAAAUCUCAUGGGUCAUGGGGAUUUGAUUGCAUGGAUGAAGAAUUGUUAAGUAUUUAUGUAUAUAUCAUUUUACAUUUAGUGCUGGACAUGAAUUCAUCGGUCUCUUCAUACCUCGAAAACAACAAAAAUUAACCCCCACAAAAAUUUGUGAUUUCACAGUAGUUUACCAACACCUCCAUUGGUGCAUUAUCAAAAAGUGUUCACAUUUUAAGAAUGUAGGGUCAAAUAUCUGUAGUGUUCAUAUUGAUUUUAUUUUAUUAUUAACAUUGAAAUGGUAUUAAUAUGUGAGUGGGGUUGCUGUGCAGUUUAACAUAUACAUACUAAAUGAAGAUUUAUGUGUGAUCUCUCAACCAUUGUGUAUUCGGCUCAAGUUGCCAUAUUCUUUUUGCUUAUUAAUGAGAUAGAAUUUUUUCAAAAAUGUUUUUAGGAAUUUUGCUUUGAUGUACUUUACAUCUCAGGAUCACUCCAUGUAAUUUGAAUCAGUAGAAACAUGAAAUAUGAUUCAAUUAACAAUACAUACUAUUCAGUAGGGUAAAUAGAUCAAGGGCAGACAAUUAAGUUAAGGAGGCUGGGGGUCAACAAAUUAACCAUCAGAUAUAACUUAUUUUUUUUUAGAUAUGAUCUCUUACUAAGAUGUCAACUUUCAUUUGGCAAAGGAAAAUUUCAUACAUUUUAAUUUAAAGAUUUGCUCAUUUUGUAUAUCUUUCUAUGGAGUUCUUCUAAAGGAGAUCAAUAUAGUCUGAAAAUGGCCACAACCACCCAUCCAUCUUAAGCUAAUGUCGGAGUACCAGCGAGUUUCCAGGCCACAUGAUUUAGUCUAUGCAAAACACAUUGAUUCAGUAUGCAUUUUUUACAAUAUUAUGUUAUAAACAUGUAUUGAUAUUGUUAGAACUUGAUCUUAUAUUUUUAGUAUGUAAAUUUCUCUGUAGAACUUUGAUAAAGAAAAUAAUUUAUUCAUGUAUGACAAGGUGAUACUUAUCACCAAGAAUAAGAAAUUCUCAACUUUAUUAAAUGCGACAUCACACAUUGCAAGUACUAAACCAUUAAAAUUCAUCACUCUUACGGCUGAUGAAUAAUCAGAUGAAUUUUGAUCAUGCUGUGUUGAAUAUAAACUGUUACAUUCCAGUUUUCAUAUAUUGUUGGGUAGUUAUUAAUGUGUGCAUUAAGUCUAUGCAUUAGAUGUGUAGAAAUAUUUUUUACAUCAAUUGUUAAAUAUGAAAUGAAUUUAUAAAAAAAAAUGUGUACAUUGUUACAUUUGAUUAUUAACAUUAUUUUGUAAAUUAGUUGAUUUAUUUAUAGUAGUGGAAUUUGAAAUGAGACCAAAUAUAUAUAAUAUCAA